rnacentral:rRNA from 1 species
GGGUGUGAUCAUACCAGUGUUAAUGCACCAGAUUCCGUCAGAACUCCGCAGUUAAGUGCACUUGGGCUAAAGUAGUACUGGGAUGGGUGACCUUCUGGGAAGUCCUAGUGUUGCACCCU